AGUGGCUUGUGAUAGCAAUGGUAAUGGGAGGACGGUUGAACUCGAUGGUCUUGCAGGUCAUUUCCAACCUUGUGAUUCUAUGAUUCUAUGAUUAUGAUUCUAAGCUUUUGCAGUCAGAUUCAUCUGCAUCACAAACAGCAAGCCUUUGCUUGUUGCCCUACUAAUGUCUUUUUUGGCAGGUCUGUAGUUGGUAAUCCAAAGGGGAUUAAAACAGCAGAAGCAGUACACCUUGAGGGCUGCAGACAUCCAGUGACUGACGUUAUUUCAGGCAGUGCUCUUUAAAAGCAGAGAAAAAUGGAACAGAAAUCAGUGUACAUGGAAAUAUUCUAGAAUACAAUGUUGUUUUCAAUAAUGUAUGCUAGGAAGUAGUACAAUCCUCCUUUUUUUGAAAGUGGAAGACAGGCGUCAUAGUUCAGAGAAGAGGCUGGAGGCAUGGCAGAAGGAGACAGAAGAUUUUCAGGAAGUUGCUAAUGGGCCAAAGUAUUGUUUUUCCCUUUUCUGUUCUCAUUAGAAACUAAAAACUCUAAGAAAGAUACUUUAAAAAAAACAAGUGACAUUUUUUGGAACAUUUAUGUGCAUUUUUCUUGAGUUCUCU
rnacentral:lncRNA from 1 species